GUCGUUGUAGUAUAGUGGUGAGUAUUCCUCCUUGUCACGCAGGUGACUCGGGUUCGAUACACGGCAAUGGUG